rnacentral:rRNA from 1 species
GACAGAGGUGCCGAGCGUUAGGCGGAAUCACUGGGCUUAAAGCGUGUGUAGGCGGAUUCCUAAGUACCUUGUGAAAUCCCAUGGCUCAACCAUGGAACUGCUUGGUAUACUGGGUGUCUUGAGCCAGCUAGGGGCUACCGGAACAAAUGGUGGAGCGGUGAAAUGCGUAGAUAUCAUUUGGAACGCCAAUGGUGAAAACAGGUAGCUGGGGCUGUGCUGACGCUGGAGACACGAAAGCCAGGGGAGCGAACGGG